GAUGAACGCUGGCGGCGUGCCUAAUACAUGCAAGUCGAGCGAACAGACGAGGAGCUUGCUCCUCUGACGUUAGCGGCGGACGGGUGAGUAACACGUGGAUAACCUACCUAUAAGACUGGGAUAACUUCGGGAAACCGGAGCUAAUACCGGAUAAUAUAUUGAACCGCAUGGUUCAAUAGUGAAAGACGGUUUUGCUGUCACUUAUAGAUGGAUCCGCGCCGCAUUAGCUAGUUGGUAAGGUAACGGCUUACCAAGGCAACGAUGCGUAGCCGACCUGAGAGGGUGAGCGGCCACGCUGGAACUGAGACACGGUCCAGACGCCUACGGGAGGCAGCAGUAGGGAAUCUUCCGCAAUGGGCGAAAGCCUGACGGAGCAACGCCGCGUGAGUGAUGAAGGUCUUCGGAUCGUAAAACUCUGUUAUUAGGGAAGAACAAAUGUGUAAGUAACUAUGCACGUCUUGACGGUACCUAAUCAGAAAGCCACGGCUAACUACGUG
rnacentral:rRNA from 1 species